GAAAAUAAGAUCAGAUUACAAUUUAUUUUUCUUUUUUAAACCAUAUUCACUAGAGUUUGCCACUCUGAGAUAUUCAGAAGAACCUGAAGAUGAGUUCCAUUGGAAUUAAGAUCAGCGAAGUUUUCGCGGUGGCUGUAUUCGUGAUCUUGAUAAUGACGUUCUUGCAGGUGCAAUCGGGCUUUGGGCAGAGCAUUGCCAUUUCUCCGGUGCCGGAGGGCUUCAUAUCCGGCAAUGGCAAGACAACUGAUCAAGGAAUUGCUUACACUCUCCUGCUAAUGGCACUGAUAUUUGCUUACGUCUUCCAUUGACCAUAUUUACACCACACAGUUCACUGUAAUGAAUAAAAAUGGUAUUAAAAAAAGAAGAAGCAAUUACAAGGAAAAGAUGCCUCUGUCAUAUAUGUCCUCCGAACUUGUAUUUUAGCCUCCUAUACAAAUAGUAAACUUAAGAAUAGGUCUGGCUAUUUGUGUCCCGUCGUGUCUAUGUGGGUUGAGUCUAAACGAGUUCGUGUAAAAAAUGUCUAAAUCCGAACACGACGCGUUUAGUAAACUUUGUCAAAAACUAAAAACCUGGAUACAACCCCUUUAUUCCGAAU